GCCCGUUUAGCUCAGUGGUAGAGCGCGCCACUCGUAUUGCGGUUUAGCUAUUCAGUUAUGAAUUGCUUGCGUAAUUACAUGGUGAGGUCACUUGUUCGAUCCAGGUAAUGGGCA
rfam:Daedalea quercina L-15889 unplaced genomic scaffold DAEQTscaffold_20, whole genome shotgun sequence.